CGCAGUGGGGAAUCUUGGACAAUGGGCGCAAGCCUGAUCCAGCCAUGCCGCGUGAGUGAUGAAGGCCUUAGGGUCGUAAAGCUCUUUCGCCAGAGAUGAUAAUGACAGUAUCUGGUAAAGAAACCCCGGCUAACUCCGUGCCAGCAGCCGCGGUAAUACGGAGGGGGUUAGCGUUGUUCGGAAUUACUGGGCGUAAAGCGUACGUAGGCGGAUUAGUCAGUCAGAGGUGAAAUCCCAGGGCUCAACCCUGGAACUGCCUUUGAUACUGCUAGUCUUGAGUUCGAGAGAGGUGAGUGGAAUUCCAAGUGUAGAGGUGAAAUUCGUAGAUAUUUGGAGGAACACCAGUGGCGAAGGCGGCUCACUGGCUCGAUACUGACGCUGAGGUACGAAAGUGUGGGGAGCAAACAGGAUUAGAUACCCUGGUAGUCCACACCGUAAACGAUGAAUGCCAGUCGUCGGGCAGUAUACUGUUCGGUGACACACCUAACGGAUUAAGCAUUCCGCCUGGGGAGUACGGUCGCAAGAUUAAAACCA
rnacentral:rRNA from 1 species